rnacentral:rRNA from 1 species
GAAUGGGAUCCUAACGUUCCCAUAGCAAACUGCUCAGUAACACAUGAUCAACUUGCCCUAUGGAGAGAAAUAACCUCGGGAAACUGAGGAUAAUGUCUCAUAGUUGAAAAGGCUUGGAAAAGUUUUUCAAUUAAAGGAGUAAGGAAAAUGGUCCUUGUUUGCCAUAGGAUAGGAUCGUGGUCGAUUAUGGUUGUUGGUGAGGUAAUGGCUCACCAAGCCGAUAAUCGAUAGGGGCCGUGAGAGCGGGAGCCCCGAGAUGGGUACUGAGACAACGACCCAGGCCUUACGAGGCGCAGCAGGCGCGAAACCUCCGCAAUACACGAAAGUGUGACGGGGUUACCCAAAGUGUCCAUUAAUGGACUGUGGUUGGUGAGUAAUUACUCCCAUCUAGAAAGGAGAGGGCAAGGCUGGUGCCAGCCGCCGCGGUAAAACCAGCUCUUCAAGUGGUCGGGAUAAUUAUUGGGCUUAAAGUGUCCGUAGCCGGUUUAGUAAGUUCCUGGUAAAAUCGGGUAGCUUAACUAUCUGCAUGCUAGGAAUACUGCUAUAC